AUUGAACGCUGGCGGAAUGCUUUACACAUGCAAGUCGAACGGUAGAGGGGGCAACCCCUUGAGAGUGGCGAACGGGUGAGUAAUAUAUCGGAACGUGCCCAGUCGUGGGGAUAACGUAGCGAAAGUUACGCUAAUACCGCAUACGAUCUAAGGAUGAAAGCGGGGGAUCGCAAGACCUCGCGCGAUUGGAGCGGCCGAUAUCAGAUUAGGUAGUUGGUGAGGUAAAGGCUCACCAAGCCAACGAUCUGUAGCUGGUCUGAGAGGACGACCAGCCACACUGGAACUGAGACACGGUCCAGACUCCUACGGGAGGCAGCAGUGGGGAAUUUUGGACAAUGGACGCAAGUCUGAUCCAGCCAUUCCGCGUGCAGGAUGAAGGCCCUCGGGUUGUAAACUGCUUUUGUACGGAACGAAAGGUUUCUAUUAAUACUAGGAGCUCAUGACGGUACCGUAAGAAUAAGCACCGGCUAACUACGUAGCCAGCAGCCGCGGU
rnacentral:rRNA from 1 species